CCUACGGGAGGCAGCAGUGAGGAAUAUUGGUCAAUGGGCUUACGCCUGAACCAGCCAAGUCGCGUGAGGGAAGACUGCCCUCUGGGUUGUAAACCUCUUUUGUCAGGGAGCAAAGCCGCCUACGUGUAGCCGGACUGAGAGUACCUGAAGAAAACGCAUCGGCUAACCCCGGGCCCGCCGCCGCGGUUAUACGGGGGAUGCGCGCGUUAUCCGUAUUUAUUGGGUUUAAAGGGUGUGUAGGGGGAUUCCAGUGUCAGGGGUAAAACCGGGGGGCCAACCCUAGCGCCGCCGUUGAAACUGGCGUUCUUGAGUGGGCAAGAAGUAGGCGGAAUGCGUGGUGUAGCGGUGAAAUGCAUAGAUAUCACGCAGAACUCCGAUUGCGAAGGCAGCAGACGG
rnacentral:rRNA from 1 species